CCUACGGGUGGCAGCAGUGAGGAAGAGUGGUCAAUGGACGAGAGUCUGAACCAGCCAAGGAGCGGGAAGGAUGACUGCCCGAUGGGUUGUAAACUUCUUUUAUAGGGGAAUAAAAUGUGCCACGUGUGGGAUUUUGUAUGUACCAUAUGAAGAAGGAUCGGCUAACUCCGUGCCAGCAGCCGCGGUAAUACGGAGGAUCCGAGCGUUAUCCGGAUUUAUUGGGUUUCAAGGGAGCGUAGGUGGAUUGUUAAGUCAGUUGUGAAAGUUUGCGGCUCAACCGGAAAAUUGCAGUUGAAACUGGCAGUCUUGCGUACAGUAGCGGUGGGCGUACUUCGCGGUGUCGCGGUGCAAUGCUU
rnacentral:rRNA from 1 species